rnacentral:rRNA from 1 species
AUACGGAGGGUGCAAGCGUUAAUCGGAAUUACUGGGCGUAAAGCGUACGUAGGCGGUUAUUUAAGUCAGAUGUGAAAGCCCCGGGCUUAACUUGGGAACUGCAUUUGAAACUGGGUAACUAGAGUUUAGUAGAGGGGAGUGGAAUUUCAGGUGUAGCGGUGAAAUGCGUAGAGAUCUGAAGGAACACCAGUGGCGAAGGCGACUCCCUGGACUAGAACUGACGCUGAGGUACGAAAGCGUGGGUAGCAAACAGGAUUAGAAACCCGGGUAGUCC